GUCAGGUGACGCGCAGCACCUGUUGACUACUUAUAUCAAAGCAGGCACAUGGUUUUCUACACCUCAACAAGCCAAGAGAGGCUGGCAAUGGCAGGGACUGAAGUACAGUAGAAGCUAUAACUGGCAAGACCAUAUAGAGCAUGAUGAUACUGUAUGUUGCUCAUGAUAAUAAUGGCCAGAGAACUCACCGUGGACUGAAAGUACUCGGGUGAGAGUCCUUCCAACUCCAGGAUACGAUCCUCCAGCUUCUUCAGUCUCUGGUAGACGCUCAAUGGGACAGGGCCCGCUGACGAAUAAAACACUUGUUGAACA